UACGUAGGCGGCAAGCGUUGUCCGGAAUUAUUGGGCGUAAAGCGCGCGCAGGCGGUCCUUUAAGUCUGAUGUGAAAGCCCACGGCUCAACCGUGGAGGGUCAUUGGAAACUGGGGGACUUGAGUGCAGAAGAGGAAAGCGGAAUUCCACGUGUAGCGGUGAGAUGCGUAGAGAUCAGGAGGAACACCGAUGGCGAAAGCAGGUGACUGGACCACUAUUGACACUGAGCCACGAAAGCUAGGGGAGCAAACAGG
rnacentral:rRNA from 1 species